CCCUCGGUCGUCUAGUUGGUUUAUGGCGUCCGGCUGUAAUGUUCAGUCUCACCGGAAUGGUUCGUGCACACCAACAAUCAUUACUCUCAGUCAAUUGCUAACAAUUGAAAAGUCGCGCGUUCGACUCGCGCCUGAGGGA